rnacentral:pre_miRNA from 1 species
UCCAGAUGUAGGUGAGCCACUGACUAACGCACAUUGCGCUGCUGCUAAAAUGCCACUGUGCGUGUGACAGCGGCUAACCGGCAUCUAGGAAUAACGUGA